AAGCUUUAAACGCCUAAUUCCUAAAACCUCUUUAGGAAAACGGAAGACCCCCGAUCAGGGUAAAUCCCGCCGCCGGCGGGACGGGUAUCUGCCGCCCGCACCCCAUAAGCUAAUUCCGUCGGCGUUGGCAGAUCUUCA
rnacentral:sRNA from 2 species